AGGAGCUCUCGGUCAUGGAAGAGAGGAGAAGCAGGAGACAGGAGCAAUGUCUGACACUGCUGCGGGAUGAAGAAACCUCGGUGUCAUCAGAGGAAUAAUCAAAGGCAACAUCACAGGCUCGAAGCUGGAUCAGGAUGCACAAAUUGUAUGAUGGAAGAGAAGAAAAGCCAGAUGUAGGGCAAAAAGGCCAUGUAGGCAAUGACAGCUGGACAGUUCAGUAUUCAGCCACCAAGAUAAGGAGUUCUGGGAAUGGCUGCAAGCCACAGGUGUUGAUUUACAUACAAGAAAAUGAGGUACAGUUGAUUCCUGGGGAAGAACCAGGAAUCAACACUGAGGAACUUAUGGAAGACAAUUAACUUUGAUUGAAAACAAUGAAAAAGAUUUGGGCUAAAAACAUGCAUGAACAUGGUUCGCUGCAAUUCUAAAAAUGAUCUACCCAUCCCAUUCUGAAAUACAACCGGUGAACUCUUUCUGUUUUCUUCCUGUACAAUGGACAUACUGCAGAGCAGGGCCUACAGCAUCCCAACCUCAUCAGCUAAGUUUCUGAUUGUCUAUAGACAGCUCUCUUUAAAUUUAUAUUGCACUAAAUUCCCAACAGGGUAGAAAGUGAGUAAAUAGCAAAGAUAAAUAAAUGCACAGUU